UCGUUAGCUCAGUGGGCAGAACAGUUGACUUUUAAUCAAUGGGUCGCAGGUUCGAGCCGAGCAGAGCGAGACA
rnacentral:tRNA from 1 species